rnacentral:tRNA from 1 species
GGAACGGUGGCAGAGCGGCCAAAUGCAUCCGCCUUGAAAGCGGAAGGGUUCACGCCCCGGGGGUUCAAAUCCCUCCCGUUCCGCCA